rnacentral:rRNA from 1 species
UACGGGGGGAGCAAGCGUUGUUCGGAUUUACUGGGCGUAAAGGGCGCGUAGGCGGCGCAACAAGUCACUUGUGAAAUCUCCGGGCUUAACCCGGAGCGGUCAAGUGAUACUGUCGUGACUAGAGUGCGGAAGGGGCUACUGGAAUUCUCGGUGUAGCGGUGAAAUGCGUAGAUAUCGAGAGGAACACCUGCGGCGAAGGCGGGUAGCUGGGCCGACACUGACGCUGAUGCGCGAAAGCCCAGGGGAGCGAACGGG